UGGAUCAGUGAUGACCACUGAUGAUAUGAUUCAUGGAUCAUGACUACAGUUCUGGGAGUCUGAGGUCCAC
rnacentral:snoRNA from 1 species